GGCCUCAUGGCCAAAUGGCAAGGCGCUUGACUACGAAGAAAUAUAUAUAUAUAUUCUAGUUGAAUCAAGAGAUUCCAGGUUCGACCCCUGGUGAGGUCG